UUCCUAAAACUUACUACUACUUAUUGUUUUAUUUAAAUCCCCUGUUUAUAUAUAGAUUUAACUCAAAAUAGAGCCAAAGCCAGAUUCAAACUUUCCCUAA
rnacentral:rRNA from 1 species